CCUACGGGAGGCAGCAGUGAGGAAUAUUGGUCAAUGGCCGGAAGGCUGAACCAGCCAUGCCGCGUGAAGGUCAGUGCCCUAUGGGCGUUAAACUUCUUUUGUGCGGGAGCAAUAAUGGUCACGUGUGGCCAGACGAGAGUACCGUACGAAUAAGCAUCGGCUAACUCCGUGCCAGCAGCCGCGGUAAUACGGGGGAUGCAAGCGUUAUCCGGGUUUAUUGGGUUUAAAGGGUGCGUAGGCUGUGAGGUAAGUCAGCGGUGAAAUGCCCCCGCUCAACGGGGUGAAGUGCCAUUGAUACUGCCUGGCUGGAAUGCGGAUGCCGUGGGAGGAAUGUGUGGUGUAGCGGUGAAAUGCAUAGAUAUCACACAGAACACCGAUUGCGAAGGCAUCUCACGAAUCCGCGAUUGACGCUGAUGCACGAAAGCGUGGGUAUCAAACAGGAUUAGAUACCCGUGUAGUC
rnacentral:rRNA from 1 species